AAGUCAUCCAUGUAUUUAUCAUAUUUCAAAGGAAAACAAGAAAGUGUUGGGUAAGACAUGCUUAUUGGGUGUAUUAGGGAGUUCAUGUGAAGCAAAGAUAGUUAAGGAGAAGUCGAAAUACUCCAUGUGUGAAGGGGAUUGGCCAGAUGAAAGCUAGAGCACCAAGACAUUUGCUCUUUAAAUUAGUUGAUAAAUAUAACUUUUGGGACAAAUAGCAAAUAUCAUGCGGUUCUAGUUUUUUAUGUGGCUAGUCUCCUUCACAUAUGAAGUUUUUUCUUUAACUAUCUUUGCUUCCCACGAAUUCCUAUAUGCAUAACAGUAAGCAUGUCUUUGCCAAUAUUUUUUAGUUUUUUUCUUAUGAAUAAAGAAAGUACUUGCUAAAUAUAUCAUAAGUGUAAACUUCAAUUACUAUUGGAAUGGAAUAUUGCCUAUCUUUUUAUCCUAUAUUCAUCCAAUUUUUAUUACCUCCUUUUAGUAUAUGCUGGAAUUGCUACUCAAUAAGGAAUAUAAUCCAAC
rnacentral:lncRNA from 1 species